rnacentral:rRNA from 1 species
GAUGAACGCUGGCGGCGUGCCUAAUACAUGCAAGUCGAGCGAACGGACGAGAAGCUUGCUUCUCUGAUGUUAGCGGCGGACGGGUGAGUAACACGUGGAUAACCUACCUAUAAGACUGGGAUAACUUCGGGAAACCGGAGCUAAUACCGGAUAAUAUUUUGAACCGCAUGGUUCAAAAGUGAAAGACGGUCUUGCUGUCACUUAUAGAUGGAUCCGCGCUGCAUUAGCUAGUUGGUAAGGUAACGGCUUACCAAGGCAACGAUGCAUAGCCGACCUGAGAGGGGAAUCGGCCACACUGGAACUGAGACACGGUCCAGACUCCUACGGGAGGCAGCAGUAGGGAAUCUUCCGCAAUGGGCGAAAGCCUGACGGAGCAACGCCGCGUGAGUGAUGAAGGUCUUCGGAUCGUAAAACUCUGUUAUUAGGGAAGAACAUAUGUGUAAGUAACUGUGCACAUCUUGACGGUACCUAAUCAGAAAGCCACGGCUAACUACGUG